rnacentral:rRNA from 1 species
CACUUUUAAUUAUAUUUUAUAUACCGCCGUCUUGAAUAGAUCAUAAAAUUUUGUUCAAAAUAAAAUUCUAAAAAUUUAGGUAAAGGUGUAAACUAUCUAAAAGAUGAAAUGUAUUACAUUAAAANAAAAUUUAAGGAUCAAAUUAAAAUAUAAUUUUAAGAAAAAGGAUUUAUAAGUAUUAUUUAAUUAAAAUUAAAAUUUG